GCGUUCGUGGCUCAGUUGGUUAAGGCGCACGCCGAAACGUCCGAAACACGUUCGCUCAAGGGGUCGUGGGUUCGAUUCCCGGUGAGGUCA
rnacentral:tRNA from 1 species